UACAGAGGGUGCAAGCGUUAAUCGGAAUUAUUGGGCGUAAAGCGCGCGCAGGCGGUCCUUUAAGUCUGAUGUGAAAAGCCCACGGCUCAACCGUGGAGGGUCAUUGGAAACUGGGGGGACUUGAGUACAGAAGAGAAGAGUGGAAUUCCACGUGUAGCGGUGAAAUGCGUAGAGAUGUGGAGGAACACCAGUGGCGAAGGCGACUCUUUGGUCUGUAACUGACGCUGAGGCGCGAAAGCGUGGGGAGCAAACAGG
rnacentral:rRNA from 1 species